GGGUUGUGAGGUUAAGCGACUAAGCGUACACGGUGGAUGCCCUGGCAGUCAGAGGCGAUGAAGGACGUGCUAAUCUGCGAAAAGCGUCGGUAAGGUGAUAUGAACCGUUAUAGCCGGCGAUGUCCGAAUGGGGAAACCCAGUGCAAUUCGUUGCACUAUCGUUAACUGAAUACAUAGGUUAACGAGGCGAACCGGGGGAACUGAAACAUCUAAGUACCCCGAGGAAAAGAAAUCAACCGAGAUUCCCCCAGUAGCGGCGAGCGAACGGGGAGCAGCCCGGAGUCUGAAUCAGCUUGUGUGUUAGUGGAAGCGUCUGGAAAGUCGCAGGGUACAGGGUGAUACUCCCGUACACUAAAACACACAGGCUGUGAACUCGAAGAGUAGGGCGGGACACGUGGUAUCCUGUCUGAAUAUGGGGGGACCAUCCUCCAAGGCUAAAUACUCCUGACUGACCGAUAGUGAACCAGUACCGUGAGGGAAAGGCGAAAAGAACCCCGGCGAGGGGAGUGAAAAAGAACCUGAAACCGUGUACGUACAAGCAGUAGGAGCCC
rnacentral:rRNA from 1 species